CACAAAUUUUUAAUUACUUGAAUAAUUGCAUAAGCUCGAAUGUCAAGCUGUGAUUCCAGUUCGAAAAGGCCAAAUUCAAGACAGCUACCAGUUCACUACAUCUCCCGCAGUUAUUUUUCCGUGUUUCAAAGCUGUUGUGAAAAACGCGAGAUAGAAUGUGAAGGCGGACCCUCGCGGCAGCAGCAGCACUCUCAAAAAGAGUUUCAAAUAAUCAACACUGCGCUAUGGAUGACUUGGCGACCGCAAAAAAAGCGACAAUGCGACAGCAUAGCUACGAACAAUCGGCCUCGUCAUGUCUUCACGCUGUUUUCUACAUCGUUCCGCAGCGGCUUAUGACGGCGAUAAAAAAAAAUGACGCAAAAAUAAAAAAAAAUUGCCAGCCGCGGUAGCUUGCUAGUAACAGCGGCUAACAGCUACACCGUCGUAUUGUCCUUUUCUCACGGUCACGAAGUCAGCCAUUGACUAGCGUUGAUUACUUGAACCCCUUCGCUGUCGCGUGGUGGAAACACGUAGAUCCACCUUCACUUCGCAUUCUUUCUCGCAUUUCGCGCCACGAGUUUGAAGCGCGGAAAGGACAACUGGGAAUAAUGUAGCGAGCUGAGAACUGCUCAAUUUGAUGUUUUCGAAUGCGAUGCAGAAUUUGACAUUCGAAAUUACGCAAUUAUACAAGUAAUUAGAAAUUUAGGCACAUAAGACUCAUUAUAGCUAACCAAUGACAACAGAAAAAUUCACCAACGUGCGCAUAGCGACCACUGAUGAAGCACCACUGGUUCCAUCAUUGUAUGCCACAGCCUUUCUUUCUUUCUUUCUUCCUUUCUUUUCUUUUUUGUACAGCUCGGCCACCCUUAACUGGUACGCACGGUUUAUUUACCCUCCGUGCUUUAGAACAAAACAGCUAUUUAUUGUUCUCAACAGCUGCACCUUAUCCUUUGCCGUCUGCAGCAACUUUCCAGAACAAUGUUUGGAAAGACAAAAGCUUCCCACACAGCUGCUACAUGCUUCUCUCCAAGAAUUAUUCAUGUGUAAUGACUGACCUCAUACGUGGGAAGACAAGUGAAAGGGCAGAAAGCUGAUGAUGGGCUGUUACUAGUUUGGCUCCAUGAUUAUCCCUCUGAUGAAGCCGAAGUAAGCGUAGUCCUGAUGACAGAUAUGCUACUAUUGCGCCUGUUGCUAGAAGUCUUCGUAUCGGGCGCUGCUGCAGGAGCAUCGAUGUCAUCGAGUGCCCCAGUCAGCCUUCUCAUAUGGAAAACAGGCGCGGCGACCCCACUCAGAUCUUUAGAGCGAGACGAAGAGGACUUCAAGAGGAGCUACGGCACGGGAGGCUACGAGGAGCUUUUGCGCACUUUCAGACUCGCUGCUCACACUGAUGGCAGUGGAGACUCAAUCGAGCGAGCGCUAGGCACUGACGACAAGGUUGACUGGGCAUCCGAUGCGUUGUACAGGGGGAUGCGUUUCCCACCGUGGCUAUAUUGGCAAUUGAAGUUACACGAACGGUCUGCGGAAAGAGUUCGAAGUGGAUUUCAGUCGUGAUUAGCAAUGUGGGAAGAAGGCAAGGAGAUGCUUUCUUUUUUAUUUGUUAGCGUGCUUUAUUAUUGCGAUAAGAAAAUUGAGGCUCAAGAGAAAUUGGCCGAGGUAAUGCACUGUGGCAAGAAGGAAGAAAGGAAAGGUUGAAAGCUUCAGUAAGACUUUUCUCCAUGAAAUGUGCAAAUAAUCUCUCGCCGCUGCUCUCCAACAGAACAAAAAAUGGCUUCAGAAUUUGCACUUAUGCCGUUAUCGUGUGGUUAACUUUCAAGGUCAAAGUCCUCCCCUCUCCCGCACUCUCCCUCUUUCAUGACUCGUUGAAGUCACUCAACAAACGUUUCACAUUGUACCAGGAACAAAGUAGGAAGGCAUGUCGGCAGAGUUAACCAUUUUUCAUAAGGAGUUGGAAGGACUAAUUUCCCGCUGCUGUCUUUUACUGGGGUAGAAACAGGGACAAAAGAAAGGAGAAAGGCGAGCAGGUUAACCAGAGCAAAAAAUAGUGUUUCCCACUCUGCACUUAUGGAAGGGGGAGGGUAUGCAGAAUGAUAAGAGAGGAGAGAGGCAGAUAGGCAGAGAGGCAGAGCACCGUCGCACGAUCACCGCCGGCAACGACCACAGCACAGGAUAAUUGUGCUACUCAUUGCGCUACACUUGUGUGGCAAGCUGUCGUAACUUCGUACCAGCGGACUUUUACUUCAGUGUUUGAUGCCUCCUUCCCCCCUCCUUUCUUUCCUUUCUUUCUUCCAUCAUUUCUUUGUAAUAAACACUCACGAUGAUACGUAGCGGAUUCUGAAUAAACAGUGAUAUGCAUGGAAAUGCAUAAUCUUAGCAGCAGUUUGCAGAUAUCAUCUACUGUCUGCUUUACGCUGUCCAAAUGUCGACAUUUCUUUGGUGGAGCAACAUUGAGAAUAGUCUAUUUCGUCCUGUAUCAUAGUCAAAUAUCAUACUGUAUAGAAGUUUCGUACAUAAAACCACGUGUAGUACUGCAAGAACGCGCACUCCGUUUUAUGUCGAAGUCAAUUUAUGCGACCUCUACCUAGCCCAUGUUUUUUCAAUACCAAAUCAUGGCCUAGCUACACCUGAUAAUAAAUUACAAAACUACAAUGAUGGCGUAUAAGUAUUUAAUUAGCAAUGUCACACUUCACUGUUAAUUUUUAGUGCCUCCAAUUCAAAACGGAAGGCUCGUAAAAAAUCAUAAACGCUCGAAACACUCGUAAGCACUCCAAAACACUCGUAAAAAUGUGUGCGAAAAAAGGCGGUUUUCAAGCGUUGGUUUUCUUUAUGGAUCAGCCUUUCUGUUAACAUGCUAACAUAAACAUUCUUUUUAAGCUUUAUUGCAAAGAACUGUAUUAGUUGUGGGAAUUCUUGUGCUUCGUUUGAUAAUGUGAGAUGCUGCUAAUCUGAUGUAUAAAGGUGCCUCCUGAUUGUA